AUGCAAGAGCUAGGUUUGACAGAGGAGGACCUAGAUGACGUGGUCUUCGACGAGAAGGAUGCACCACCAGAGGCUGCACGCUGGGUUGCUCUGGCUAGGGUUAAUACUCCCAAAACCUAUAGUCAGACGUGGUUUUAUCGGAACAUGAGAUCGGCAUGGGACUUGGCGCAGGAGGUGAAGUUCAGAACGCUGGAAGACAAUCUAUACACAAUACAAUUCUCGUGCCUCGGAGACUGGGAGAGAGUUAUGAAUGAUGACCCAUGGCACUUCCGUGGAGAUGCGGUUAUCAUCAAACCCUAUGACGGAGUGACCAAGCCCUCGACCAGCAAGAUGGAUAAGGUUGAGAUAUGGGCGCAAAUACACGAAGUUCCAGAUCUGUAUGCUCAUCUAGUCCCAUCCCUUGCUGCUAAGGUGGGGAAGUUCUGUUUGCCGAACCCCCAUCCCAAGAUGUUGCGGGAAAUUUCUACCGUGUCUGGGUCAGAAUCGAUGUAA
rnacentral:rRNA from 1 species